rnacentral:rRNA from 1 species
AGAGUUUGAUUCUGGCUCAGGAUGAACGCUAGCUACAGGCUUAACACAUGCAAGUCGAGGGGCAUCAGGGUCUGUGCUUGCACAGAUUGCUGGCGACCGGCGCACGGGUGAGUAACGCGUAUCCAACCUUCCCCUUAGUAGAGGAUAGCCCGGCGAAAGUCGGAUUAAUACUCUAUGUUGUUCAAUGCGGACAUCUAAGUUGAACCAAAGGUUUACCGCUAAGGGAUGGGGAUGCGUCUGAUUAGGUAGUAGGCGGGGUAACGGCCCACCUAGCCGACGAUCAGUAGGGGUUCUGAGAGGAAGGUCCCCCACAUUGGAACUGAGACACGGUCCAAACUCCUACGGGAGGCAGCAGUGAGGAAUAUUGGUCAAUGGACGAGAGUCUGAACCAGCCAAGUAGCGUGCAAGGAUGACGGCCCUAUGGGUUGUAAACUGCUUUUAUGCGGGGAUAAAGUGCACCACGUGUGGUGUUUUGUAGGUACCGCAUGAAUAAGGACCGGCUAAUUCCGUGCCAGCAGCCGC